GUGUGGCUCCUGCUUAGCACCUGGUGCACAGCUCCUGCCAGGGCCAUCCAGGUGACCGUGUCCAACCCCUACCACGUGGUGAUCCUCUUCCAGCCUGUGACCCUGCCCUGUACCUACCAGAUGACCUCGACCCCCACGCAACCCAUCGUCAUCUGGAAGUACAAGUCUUUCUGCCGGGACCGCAUCGCCGAUGCCUUCUCCCCGGCCAGCGUCGACAACCAGCUCAAUGCCCAGCUGGCAGCCGGGAACCCAGGCUACAACCCCUAUGUCGAGUGCCAGGACAGCGUGCGCACCGUCAGGGUCGUGGCCACCAAGCAGGGCAACGCUGUGACCCUGGGAGAUUACUACCAGGGCCGGAGGAUUACCAUCACCGGAAAUGCUGACCUGACCUUUGACCAGACGGCGUGGGGGGACAGUGGUGUGUAUUACUGCUCCGUGGUCUCAGCCCAGGACCUCCAGGGGAACAAUGAGGCCUACGCAGAGCUCAUCGUCCUUGGCAGGGACCACUGGCCCACAGUGCCUCCAGUCACCCAAGCCAAACUAAGAGAAGAGUGGAGACAAUUGGAGACUCUGCCUCUUCAGAGUCUCAUUUUUAAAAAAAUCCAGACUUGGGGUCCGGGUGCGGUAGUUCAUGCCUGUAAUCCCAGCACUUUGGGA
rnacentral:sRNA from 1 species